UACGAAGGGGGCUAGCGUUGUUCGGAAUCACUGGGCUUAAAGCGCGUGUAGGCGGGCCGGCACGUCGGUCGUUGAAAUCCCCCGGCUCAACCGGGGAAGCGGCGCCGAUACGACCGGCCUCGAGGGACGUAGGGGGGGCUGGAACUUCCGGUGGAGCGGUGAAAUGCGUUGAGAUCGGAAGGAACGCCCGUGGCGAAAGCGAGCCCCUGGACGUCUACUGACGCUGAGGAGCGAAAGCAUGGGGAGCGAACAGG
rnacentral:rRNA from 1 species